UACGUAGGGUGCGAGCGUUGUCCGGAAUUAUUGGGCUUAAAGAGCGCGCAGGCGGUCGUAUAAGUCGCGUGUGAAAGCCCCCGGCUCAACUGGGGAGGGUCACGCGAUACUGUUCGACUCGAAGGCAGGAGAGGGAAGUGGAAUUCCCGGUGUAGUGGUGAAAUGCGUAGAUAUCGGGAGGAACACCAGUGGCGAAGGCGACUUCCUGGCCUGUUCUUGACGCUGAGGCGCGAAAGCUAGGGUAGCAAACGGG
rnacentral:rRNA from 1 species